rnacentral:rRNA from 1 species
GAUGAACGCUGGCGGCAUGCCUAACACAUGCAAGUCGAUCGGUAAGGCUCUUCGGAGUACACGAGAGGCGGACGGCUGAGUAACGCGUAGGAACACACCCUGCAGUGAGGGAUAAGACACCGAAAGGUGUUCUAAUACCGCAUACGGUCUUCGGAUUAAAGCAUUUAUGCGCUGAAGGAGUGGCCUGCGUCAUAUUAGAUAGUUGGUGAGGUAAUGGCUCACCAAGUCGAUGAUGUGUAGCUGGUCUGAGAGGAUGAUCAGCCAGACUGGAACUGAGACACGGUCCAGACUCCUACGGGAGGCAGCAGUGAGGAAUAUUUCACAAUGAGCGAAAGCUUGAUGGAGCAAUGCCGCGUGCAGGAUGAAGGCCCUCGGGUUGUAAAUUGCUUUUAUAAGAGAAGAUUAUGACGGUAACUUAUGAAUAAGGGACGGCUAACUACGUG